AUGGCGAACUUGGGCUGCAGGGACGUCCCGGGCCCGGAUGAGGACAUUUUUCUGUACUUCGCCUACGGUAGCAACCGGCUGACGAGAGUAUCCACCUCCGAAACCCCUCGGCGGCGGGCUUCUGUGUGGCCCGCAUGCAGAAAGAAAAAAAAAAAAAAGGAACAUAUGUUGUAAUAGAAGUUAAAGUUUCAACUCAAGAAGGAAGAGAAAUAACCUGUCAAAGAUAUCUGAUGACAAAUUACGAAAGUGCUCCUCCGUCUUCACAGUAUAAAAAGAUUAUUUGCAUGGGUGCAAAAAUAAAAAUGGUUUGCCGCUGGAGUAUCAAGAGAAGUUAAAAGCAAUAGAACCAAAUGACUAUACAGGAAAGGUCUCAGAAGAAAUUGAAGACAUCAUCAAAAAGGGAGAAACACAAACUCUU
rnacentral:lncRNA from 1 species